rnacentral:rRNA from 1 species
AUUGAACGCUGGCGGCAUGCUUUACACAUGCAAGUCGAACGGUAACGCGGGGGCAACCCUGGCGACGAGUGGCGAACGGGUGAGUAAUACAUCGGAACAUGUCCUGAAGUGGGGGAUAGCCCGGCGAAAGCCGGAUUAAUACCGCAUACGCUCUGAGGAGGAAAGCGGGGGACCGAAAGGCCUCGCGCUAUUGGAGUGGCCGAUGUCGGAUUAGCUAGUUGGUGGGGUAAAGGCCCACCAAGGCGACGAUCCGUAGCUGGUCUGAGAGGAUGAUCAGCCACACUGGGACUGAGACACGGCCCAGACUCCUACGGGAGGCAGCAGUGGGGAAUUUUGGACAAUGGGGGCAACCCUGAUUCAGCCAUGCCGCGUGAGUGAAGAAGGCCUUCGGGUUGUAAAGCUCUUUCGGACGGAACGAAAUGGUUACGGUGAACAUCCGUGACUGAUGACGGUACUGUAAGAAGAAGCACCGGCUAACUACGUGCCAGCAGCCGCAGUAA